UACAGAGGUCUCAAGCGUUGUUCGGAUUCAUUGGGCGUAAAGGGUGCGUAGGCGGCGCGGUAAGUCGGGUGUGAAAUCUUGGAGCUUAACUCCGAAACUGCAUUCGAUACUGCCGUGCUUGAGGACUGGAGAGGAGACUGGAACUUCCGGUGGAGCGGUGAAAUGCGUUGAUAUCGGAAGGAACGCCGGUGGCGAAAGCGACGUGCUGGAUCUCUUCUGACGCUGAGGCGCGAAAGCCAGGGGAGUGAACGGG
rnacentral:rRNA from 1 species